rnacentral:lncRNA from 1 species
GUGUUGUAUGAUUGAAGAAUUGAAUUACAUGAUAAGUUACUAUUAAGAAAUAUUUUUGGUAUUUCUAUCAAAUUUCAUCUCUUCUAAGUAGUCAUGAUACGUUACUAGACAUCAAUCUUGACUUAUGAAUAUUGAGAAUUAUGUUCCAAAAUCAAUCGUCAAUCUGUUGAUCAUUAUGCUCAUAUUUAUAAAUUAUAUAUAAAUUUUUAUUAAUAAAAAUUGUUUGACUUUUUCGUCA